UACGUAGGUGGCAAGCGUUGUCCGGAUUUACUGGGUGUAAAGAGCGCGCAGGCGGUCGUAUAAGUCGAAUGUGAAAGCCCCCGGCUCAACUGGGGAGGGUCAUUCGAUACUGUUCGACUCGAAGGCAGGAGAGGGAAGCGGAAUUCCCGGUUUAGUGGUGCAGUGCGUAGCUAUCGGGAGGAACACCAGUGGCGAAGGCGGCUUUCUGGCCUGUUCUUGACGCUGAGGCGCGAAAGCUAGGGGAGCAAACGGG
rnacentral:rRNA from 1 species